UGAGGAAUAUUGGUCAAUGGGCGAGAGCCUGAACCAGCCAAGUCGCGUGAGGGAGUACUGCCCUAUGGGUUGUAAACCUCUUUUGUCGGGGAGCAAAAGCCGGACGUGUCCGGCUGUGAGAGUACCCGAAGAAAAAGCAUCGGCUAACUCCGUGCCAGCAGCCGCGGUAAUACGGAGGAUGCGAGCGUUAUCCGGAUUUAUUGGGUUUAAAGGGUGCGCAGGCGGAUUUUUAAGUCAGCGGUCAAAUCGUGGGGCUCAACCCCAUCCAGCCGUUGAAACUGGGGAUCUAGAGUGUGCGAGAGGUAUGCGGAAUGCGUGGUGUAGCGGUGAAAUGCAUAGAUAUCACGCAGAACCCCGAUUGCGAAGGCAGCAUACCGGUGCACAACUGACGCUCAGGCACGAAAGCGUGGGUAUCGAACA
rnacentral:rRNA from 1 species